rnacentral:ribozyme from 1 species
AUUUUUUUUUUUUUUUUCAUAUUGGCGUGAUUUUUCUCCCUUUCUCUUUUUCUGAACUUCCAACUCCCCGCACCCGAGGAAUAAGAUACGAGCUGUAAUGUUUACACAAUUAUCAUGGAAAAGUAAAACAAGUGCAAAUCUUCUUGUUUUCG